rnacentral:tRNA from 1 species
GGCUCUGUGGCGAAAUCGGAAAACGCAUCCGAUUUAAGAUCGGAUACCCGUUGGUUUAAGGGUUCGAAUCCCUUCGGAGCUA